AGCAGUGUGGCCUAAUGGAUAGAGCAUGGGCUUGGAACUCAGAAGGACCAGGGUUCUAAUCCUGACAAUGCUA
rnacentral:tRNA from 1 species